rnacentral:rRNA from 1 species
UACAAUGUAGAGUUUGAUCCUGGCUCAGGAUGAACGCUAGCUACAGGCUUAACACAUGCAAGUCGCGGGGCAGCAUGAUUUUUCCCUCGGGAAAGAUUGAUGGCGACCGGCGCACGGGUGAGUAACGCGUAUCCAACCUGCCCGUCACCACGGGAUAGCCUGCCGAAAGGCAGAUUAAUACCGUAUGUGGUCCGAAGACGGCAUCAGAUUCGGACUAAAGGUUCAGCGGUGACGGAUGGGGAUGCGUCCGAUUAGGUAGUAGGCGGGGUAACGGCCCACCUAGCCAUCGAUCGGUAGGGGUUCUGAGAGGAAGGUCCCCCACACUGGAACUGAGACACGGUCCAGACUCCUACGGGAGGCAGCAGUGAGGAAUAUUGGUCAAUGGAGGCAACUCUGAACCAGCCAAGUAGCGUGCAGGAUGACGGCCCUAUGGGUUGUAAACUGCUUUUAUGCGGGGAUAAACUGAGCCACGUGUGGCUUAUUGCAGGUACCGCAUGAAUAAGGACCGGCUAAUUCCGUGCCAGCAGCCGCGGUAAUACGGAAGGUCCGGGCGUUAUCCGGAUUUAUUGGGUUUAAAGGGAGCGCAGGCCGCCCCUUAAGCGUGUUGUGAAAUGCCGCGGCUCAACCGUGGCACUGCAGCGCGAACUGGGGGGCUUGAGUGCGCCGGAGGUAGGCGGAAUUCGUGGUGUAGCGGUGAAAUGCUUAGAUAUCACGAAGAACUCCGAUUGCGAAGGCAGCCUACCGUAGCGUUACUGACGCUGAGGCUCGAAGGUGCGGGUAUCGAACAGGAUUAGAUACCCUGGUAGUCCGCACGGUAAACGAUGGAUGCCCGCCGUUGGGUAUUUUUAUUCAGCGGCCAAGCGAAAGCGUUAAGCAUCCCACCUGGGGAGUACGCCGGCAACGGUGAAACUCAAAGGAAUUGACGGGGGCCCGCACAAGCGGAGGAACAUGUGGUUUAAUUCGAUGAUACGCGAGGAACCUUACCCGGGCUUGAAUUGCAGAUGACGGAUCCAGAGAUGGUGACUUCCUUCGGGACAUCUGUGAAGGUGCUGCAUGGUUGUCGUCAGCUCGUGCCGUGAGGUGUCGGCUUAAGUGCCAUAACGAGCGCAACCCCUUUCGUCAGUUGCCAUCGGGUAAUGCCGGGCACUCUGGCGACACUGCCGCCGCAAGGUGUGAGGAAGGUGGGGAUGACGUCAAAUCAGCACGGCCCUUACGUCCGGGGCUACACACGUGUUACAAUGGGGCAUACAGAGAGUUGGUCAUGCGCAAGCAUGAUCGGAUCAUGAAAGUGUCCCUCAGUUCGGACUGGGGUCUGCAACCCGACCCCACGAAGCUGGAUUCGCUAGUAAUCGCGCAUCAGCCAUGGCGCGGUGAAUACGUUCCCGGGCCUUGUACACACCGCCCGUCAAGCCAUGAAAGCCGGGGGCGCCUGAAGUCCGUGACCGCGAGGGUCGGCCUAGGGUGAAACCGGUGAUUGGGGCUAAGUCGUAACAAGGUAGCCGUACCGGAAGGUGCGGCUGGAACACCUCCUUUCU